rnacentral:rRNA from 1 species
UACACACCGCCCGUCACACCAUGGGAGUGGGUUUCACCUUAAGUGACUGCGCUAAUCUGGCAGGUCACCACGGUGGGAUUCAUGACUGGGGUG